rnacentral:rRNA from 1 species
GCUUACGGCCAUACCAGCCUGGGUACGCCCGAUCUCGUCUGAUCUCGGAAGCUAAGCAGGGUCGGGCCUGGUUAGUACUUGAUGGGAGACGCUGGGAAACCAGGUGCUGUAAGCA